rfam:Triticum aestivum genome assembly, contig: Triticum_aestivum_CS42_TGACv1_scaffold_249436_3DL
GAUAUACUCCCUCCGUUCCAAAAUAGAUGACUCAACUUUGUACUAACUUUAGUACAAAGUUGGGUCAUCUAUCGUUCCAAAAUAGAUGACUCAACUUUGUACUAACUUUAGUACAAAGUUGGGUCAUCUAUUUUGGAACGGAGGGAGUAUAAG